rnacentral:snRNA from 1 species
AUAUUUACGUGGGAAGGGAGACACCAUGAUCAUGCAGGUGGUUUUCCCAGGGCAAGGCUUAUCCAUUGCACUUGGGGUGUGCUGACCCCUACGAUUUCCCCAAAUUUGGGAACCUCGACUGCAUAAUUUGUGGUAACAGGGGACCGCAUUCACACUCUCCCCUG